rnacentral:rRNA from 1 species
CCUACGGGAGGCAGCAGUGAGGAAUAUUGGUCAAUGGACGGAAGUCUGAACCAGCCAUGCCGCGUGCAGGAAGACGGCUCUAUGAGUUGUAAACUGCUUUUGUACAAGGGUAAACCUGAAUACGUGUAUUCAGCUGAAAGUACUGUACGAAUAAGGAUCGGCUAACUCCGUGCCAGCAGCCGCGGUAAUACGGAGGAUCCAAGCGUUAUCCGGAUUUAUUGGGUUUAAAGGGUGCGUAGGCGGAUUGAUAAGUUAGAGGUGAAAUGUCCGAGCUCAACUCGGGAACUGCCUCUAAUACUGUUGGUCUAGAGAGUAGAUGCGGUAGGCGGAAUGUAUGGUGUAGCGGUGAAAUGCUUAGAGAUCAUACAGAACACCGAUUGCGAAGGCAGCUUACCAAUCUAUAUCUGACGUUGAGGCACGAAAGCGUGGGGAGCAAACAGGAUUAGAUACCCUUGUAGUC